rnacentral:rRNA from 1 species
AACGCAUGCUGGACGUAUCAGAAGUGCGAAUGCUGACAUGAGUAACGAUAAAGGGGGUGAAAAACCUCCUCGCCGGAAGACCAAGGGUUCCUGUCCAACGUUAAUCGGGGCAGGGUAAGUCGACCCCUAAGGCGAGGCCGAAAGGCGUAGUCGAUGGGAAACGGGUUAAUAUUCCCGUACUUCUUACAAUUGCGAUGGGGGGACGGAGAAGGCUAGGUGGGCCUGGCGACGGUUGUCCAGGUUCAAGUGCGUAGGCUUAAGAGUUAGGUAAAUCCGGCUCUUUUUAAGGCUGAGACACGACGUCGAGCCACUACGGUGGUGAAGUCAUUGAUGCCAUGCUUCCAGGAAAAGCCUCUAAGCUUCAGAUUGUAAGGAAUCGUACCCCAAACCGACACAGGUGGUCGGGUAGAGAAUACCAAGGCGCUUGAGAGAACUCGGGUGAAGGAACUAGGCAAAAUGGUACCGUAACUUCGGGAGAAGGUACGCUCUUGAUGGUGAAGUCCCUUGCGGAUGGAGCUGACGAGAGUCGCAGAUACCAGGUGGCUGCAACUGUUUAUUAAAAACACAGCACUGUGCAAAAUCGUAAGAUGACGUAUACGGUGUGACGCCUGCCCGGUGCCGGAAGGUUAAUUGAUGGGGUUAGACUUCGGUCGAAGCUCUUGAUCGAAGCCCCGGUAAACGGCGGCCGUAACUAUAACGGUCCUAAGGUAGCGAAAUUCCUUGUCGGGUAAGUUCCGACCUGCACGAAUGGCGUAAUGAUGGCCACGCUGUCUCCACCCGAGACUCAGUGAAAUUGAAAUCGCUGUGAAGAUGCAGUGUACCCGCGGCUAGACGGAAAGACCCCGUGAACCUUUACUACAGCUUGGCACUGAACAUUGACCCUACAUGUGUAGGAUAGGUGGGAGGCUUUGAAGCACGUACGCCAGUAUGUGUGGAGCCGUCCUUGAAAUACCACCCUUGUAGUGUUGAUGUUCUAACGUCGACCCCUAAUCGGGGUUGCGGACAGUGCCUGGUGGGUAGUUUGACUGGGGCGGUCUCCUCCCAAAGAGUAACGGAGGAGCACGAAGGUGGGCUAAUCACGGUUGGACAUCGUGAGGUUAGUGCAAUGGCAUAAGCCCGCUUGACUGCGAGAAUGACAAUUCGAGCAGGUGCGAAAGCAGGUCAUAGUGAUCCGGUGGUUCUGAAUGGAAGGGCCAUCGCUCAACGGAUAAAAGGUACUCCGGGGAUAACAGGCUGAUACCGCCCAAGAGUUCAUAUCGACGGCGGUGUUUGGCACCUCGAUGUCGGCUCAUCACAUCCUGGGGCUGAAGUCGGUCCCAAGGGUAUGGCUGUUCGCCAUUUAAAGUGGUACGCGAGCUGGGUUUAGAACGUCGUGAGACAGUUCGGUCCCUAUCUGCCGUGGGCGUUGGAAGAUUGAAGGGGGCUGCUCCUAGUACGAGAGGACCGGAGUGGACGAACCUCUGGUGUUCGGGUUGUGUCGCCAGACGCAUUGCCCGGUAGCUAAGUUCGGAAUCGAUAACCGCUGAAAGCAUCUAAGCGGGAAGCGAGCCCUGAGAUGAGUCUUCCCUGAUACUUUAAGUAUCCUAAAGGGUUGUCGGAGACUACGACGUUGAUAGGUCAGGUGUGUAAGUGCUGUGAGGCAUUGAGCUAACUGAUACUAAUUGCCCGUGAGGCUUAACCAUACAACACCCAAGGGGUUU